AUGCUUUUUUGCAAAAAAGCCCUAUGGUUUGCUAAAAUCAACCCGCAGUACUACAGGAAUCAAGUAAAAAAAUUCUCUCGUUGGUACAAUUCCUCGCUCCAGUCCGAGGCCACCGCCGUCGCCCUGCCCGGCCUUGCCCGCGCCACCAUCGCCCUGCCCGUUCUUUCCCGGCGCCGUGCGCGCCCGCCGCCCUACCAGGCUGCACCUGUCGUCGUGCCAGGUCGCGCCCGCCGCCCUGCUAGCGUUCCAUUGGCCUGCGCCCGCCCAGCUCCCGCUCACACCACCGCCGACCGCGCCCUCGCCCGCUUCCAUGCCCGGCCUCGCCCGCCUCCAUGCCCGGUUUCUCCGGACGCGGAACUGACAGAGGAUGAUAGGCGGCCGGCGUGCUCUCUUGGGGCGAGGCGUUGCGGCACGCCGGUGACAUGCGAGGGUUGUGCGACAAGGGAAACAAAAGAAGGGAAAACAUAG
rnacentral:rRNA from 1 species